rnacentral:RNase_P_RNA from 1 species
GGAGUCAGCCAGGCAGUCGCUCGGCUGUGUAUUCAGUCGGGAGGAAAGUCCGGGCUCCAUAGGGCAGAGUGCCAGGUAACGCCUGGGCGGUGUGAGCCGACGGAAAGUGCAGCAGAGAAGAUACCGCCGAUGGCUCAUCUGAUUUCGGUCAGUGAGUACAGGUAAGGGUGAAAUGGUGCGGUAAGAGCGCACCGCGCCGGUGGCAACAUUCGGCGGCAUGGUAAACCCCACUCGGAGCAAGGCCAAAUAGGGAUGCAAUGGCGUGGCCCGCGCUGUAUCCGGGUAGGCUGCUUGAGGUCUGUGGUGACGCAGAUCCCAGAUGAAUGACUGUCUACGACAGAACCCGGCUUAUCGGCUGACUCCUCCU